UUGUACAUUGAGGUCUGUUUUUCCAUCUUUAUCAGUUUCAAAACAAGCAAACUCCAAGGCAUUUGAUCCUCUUAAUGACUGUAUCGUCACUAAGGAAAAGAGACAAAAGAAAGGAGUGAGACUGAAAAUCGUAAAACAAAUUUUGUUUUGAUUACUAAUAAAGCUUCUACUAAAGUCCCUCAUGGACUGAAAAGGAAGGACUUGCUCCAAAGAGGAUAUAUAAAAAAGACAGAAUUCUUGAGAAACAUGUCAGCUCAGGAAGUACAAAACAGGAUUAUCAGAGCCUUUCCAGAUAAAUUAAGAGAGAAAUCAACAAUAGCCAUGUUAAUGGCUGAUCGAAAGAAGGUUUUGCCCAAGUUAUGACGGAAAUAAAUGGUUUAGCAGAGAAAGGAUUUCUUACAAUUAGAGAGAAAGAAGUGCAACUAACAAUGUAUUUUGGUGGUGAUUACAAAAUCAGUGCUAUUAUUAUUUUAAUUAUAUCAAUACAUAGAAUAGAUCAUCCUAAUGUCAAUGGGAAUGAAAGAGGCAAGCUCUAACAAUUCAUGUCUAUAUUGUUAGAUACAUAAAAGUAACAGAUGGGAUACAACACACAUAGCAAAACAAGGAUCAUUAUGUUCGAUAAAAAAGCAAGUUGCAAAGAAGGAAUUUGGCAUAUCUCAUGGGCCACUUUUUAACAUUGAGCUCAGUAAUGUAGUAGUGGAUGAAUUACAUAUGUUUCUAAGAAUUACUGAUAUUUUGUUAAGAAAUCUUAUGUGGCAAAUGAUUUACCAGGAUGAAAGCAACGUUUUUGUCAGUAAGGAAUCUCAUUACAUGAAUAGUGCUGUGGAUGCUAUUCAGUCAUGUGGACUAACCUUCCAGAUCUGGAAAACUGAUAAGAAACGAGGAAGAGAAGGCUAUGAUUGGACAUCAUUGAGGGGUAAUGAUAAAAAAACACUCAUGCAGAGGCUACCAUCAAAGAUGCCAGCAUUGCUUCCUAGACAUGGAAAUGAAGUAAUGAAGUUAUGGGAAGUAAGAACA